ensembl:misc_RNA
UUAUGGGGUAGCGCUGGGGACAGGUGGCCUGGCCAAGGUUCUGGGGUUCCUCCAUGCGAGUCGUGGAUGGGCCCCGCUGUUGGCUG